ensembl:lncRNA
GUAACAUUUGGUGUAUCAACCACUCUGAUAUCGUACAAAAGCCAAUGGGCUACAGCAGGCACUCUGACUGAAGCACCCACACUGUGCUGGGAUAGCAGCCCCUGAUCCUGCAGUGCCACUGCAAGGAGCCUGGAAUCAGGACCUCCAGGACAUCUGACUCCAGCUUGUAUAAUGGUUGGCAAUGCAGUGGCUGCUCUCAAUUUUAAGGAUGCAUAAGUAUACAGGUAACGUGUUUGCAAUGAGUAAGAACAUGUAUGACUCCACUUCUUCUCAGUACAGGGUGUUCCACUCCUCCGUAACACCGAGAUGAUCAGAGCCCUGGCAGGGCAGCGGUCUGUCCAACUGCCAGCAGAGAAGCUCUGACCUGACAGCAGACUCAAUCUUCUGGUCUGAUGGACGAUGGUGGUGCCAGCACAUGUGUCUUCUGGAAGAUAGGAAUGUGGAUCUCACACAGCAGUAGGACUUUUUUUCCCUUUACAAUGGCCGAGCAGAGCAGCAGCAGUGCCAUUGAUUCCUGCUGUUGCCGCCCUGCUGAACGCCAAGACAGAUAAACUGUGGGAUGUUCUUAGCAGCUCCUCCAUGGGGUAGUAAGAUAAACAUGAGAAACAUAAGGAGAUAUUAAAGAGUAGAUUAUAAUCCAUUUUCAGGAAACAGCAUUUUCUCCAGCAAGAGAGACUGAACUUUAUCAAAGGGGAAACUUCUCCAGGAGGACUUGCCAAAGUAAAUCUCUUUGAUGCAAAUGGUUUAAGCAAAGACAUUCACCUUAAUCUACUGUGUGGUGACCUGCUCUUCUGAUACAAAGAAUAAUUAUGGGUGUUUUCGGAAUUGCUGUGGUCUGCAAAUCCUCCAAAUCUAAGUUCUUAAUGUUCCCGCUUCACCACUCUGAUCUUGGUCACCCACAUUUCUUGUAAUUUUGGCCUUGCUUAAUGCCUUUAGGUGUUGUUACUUGGAAAGACUUCACUGCCUUUUGAAGGACAGAUCAAAAAAUAACAAGCUUUUUUUUUUUUUUACCUUUACAUUUAAUUGUUGUGCCUGGGUCUAAUAAAGUGAAUGACCCACAAAUAACUUGAUCGAAGUGCAGAACACAGUGGAGUGGAGAAGACGAGUGUUUAGCUGUUGAAAUCAAUACUUUCAUGCAGAUUGAUGUCUGUGCCAGUUUGCCAUCCCGGACGUUUUCAGUUUAGUUUAUUUGUGUUACAGUAGUAGUGACAAUGUAGUUAAAUAUAGCCUCUGAAAACAGGAUCUCUGCUUGUUUCAUUUGUAUUCUACUGUUCUUUCAUUAAACAUUUCUUCAUCUUUGCAGAGCCAAAUUCUUACAAUAAUAAAUCAGAGACACCUAAAGUUCUUGCCAAGUCAAAUAUCUACAGUUUCUGGCAAUUAUGUAAUUUCCAGAUUUGCUACAAUGACUCUUGCCGAUAAGUCAAUUGUCAUAAAAAGAAAUGUUCCAGACCAAUCUUUAUUAGGGUGUCCUUCACUGAUCUGUGUAAAAUAAUCCCCCUCCAGCCCCACUUUCUUUUAGAAAAGAGAAACAUAAUUACAGCUUUUUCCCUUGCUAUGAAUGACUCUUCAUCAUAACAAUUUAUAUCUGGAAAAUGUCACAAGAAAAUGUGAAAAAGGUAAGUUUAAACCAAAGAAAUCAGGAACUGCUGUUAUUAAUAGAACAGCUCAGAAAUGUUUCCCAUGAUGUGUUAUA